rnacentral:lncRNA from 1 species
UAUACAUAAUUAAUUAAGCACAAUUGAUAGAAUAACGAAUUUGAAAUAUUUCAAGUGUGUCCACCACCGUAUUCCCUUUUUCUAUAGGACUACAAACACAGCAACCAAAUUUACAAAAAAAAAAAAAACUGGCUAAACAUACAAGAAUGAAGAACAAACUUCCACCCCACACGAAACCAGGACACAACAUACAGCAAAGGAAAUCUUGACAUCCUGAGAAAACCAUAAGAUUUGAGUCAGUAUAAUACAAGCAGUUAUGCUACUGGUGUAUGAUUUGACCAUCAGUUGUAAAUUCUUACAUUUACCGAGGUGGUCGAAUUGGCCCUGGAGGCUCUAUAGGUGGUGUAUGUGGGAUGUUAUUGUUGUGAGGAGGUUGGUCAGGAUGAGAGAUAGGACUUGUUCCUUGGGUUAGUUUUCUGUGUCUAGGUCGCAGUUGGUUGGAUCCACCGGGUAGACCGUGAUUGAAACCAAUAGGUUUGAUCUGUGGAGCAUUAAUGGUCGGUGGCUGGUAACUGAUCAGACCAUUGGGUUGCGCAUGUCGUUGAUGCUUUGGAUUCCCUGCAGCAAUAUUGGUGAUGAGAGUAACUGCAAGUAACAAUACUAGCACGAAAAACUCAUAAUAAGACAUCUUUCCACCCUUGUUUCUCAUCACCGGUAUGGCGGUAUAUACAUGACACAAACAAUACAAUUAGUGUAUACCAGGUUAUAUAUACGCGUAAACAAAUCUGCUAUUAAUUAUCAAGAAGUCCCAGCUCAACUAGUAAAAUGUCAAAAUUGUUAGGUCGAAUUGAGUUCGAACCCUGGUACCUCCACUUGUGUGUGUGAGUUUAUAAUGACUUUGCUAUUUCAUCUA